AAACCAUGAUGUGGCCAGAGUCUCAUCAUGUCCUUAUAUCUCUCCCAACCCUCAAAGAAAGAUUCACAAAUGACCUGUUUAAAGUAGGUUAUCUAUUUUCUUAACAU